rnacentral:rRNA from 1 species
CCUACGGGCUGCAGCAUUGGGGAAUAUUGCACAAUGGGCGCAAGCCUGAUGCAGCCAUGCCGCGUGUAUGAAGAAGGCCUUCGGGUUGUAAAGUACUUUCAGCGGGGAGGAAGGUGUUGUGGUUAAUAACCAAAGCAAUUGACGUUACCCGCAGAAGAAGCACCGGCUAACUCCGUGCCAGCAGCCGCGGUAAUACGGAGGGUGCAAGCGUUAAUCGGAAUUACUGGGCGUAAAGCGCACGCAGGCGGUCUGUCAAGUCGGAUGUGAAAUCCCCGGGCUCAACCUGGGAACUGCAUUCGAAACUGGCAGGCUAGAGUCUUGUAGAGGGGGGUAGAAUUCCAGGUGUAGCGGUGAGAUGCGUAGUGAUCUGGAGGAAUACCGGUGGCGAAGGCGGCCCCCUGGACAAAGACUGACGCUCAGGUGUGAAAGCGUGGGGAGCAAACAGGAUUAGAUACCCCCGUAGUC